rfam:Bombyx mori DNA, contig: Bm_scaf6_contig5172, strain: p50T/Dazao, build 2, whole genome shotgun sequence.
UUAACUCGAAUCUGUAUGGAGUUGGAACGUUUAACUACGUUUGCCGCUAGGGGCGCUGUUCCAACUGCAUACAAAUUUCAGUUA